rnacentral:rRNA from 1 species
AUUGAACGCUGGCGGCAGGCCUAACACAUGCAAGUCGAACGGUAACAGGAAGAAGCUUGCUUCUUUGCUGACGAGUGGCGGACGGGUGAGUAAUGUCUGGGGAACUGCCUGAUGGAGGGGGAUAACUACUGGAAACGGUAGCUAAUACCGCAUAACGUCGCAAGACCAAAGAGGGGGACCUUCGGGCCUCUUGCCAUCGGAUGUGCCCAGAUGGGAUUAGCUAGUAGGUGGGGUAACGGCUCACCUAGGCGACGAUCCCUAGCUGGUCUGAGAGGAUGACCAGCCACACUGGAACUGAGACACGGUCCAGACUCCUACGGGAGGCAGCAGUGGGGAAUAUUGCACAAUGGGCGCAAGCCUGAUGCAGCCAUGCCGCGUGUAUGAAGAAGGCCUUCGGGUUGUAAAGUACUUUCAGCGGGGAGGAAGGGAGUAAAGUUAAUACCUUUGCUCAUUGACGUACCCGCAGAAG